rnacentral:tRNA from 1 species
UGUCCCAUGGCUUAGUUGGUUACGGCGUCCGACUGUUAAACUCUCAUAUCGGAAGAUCGAGAGUUCAAGUCUCUCUGGGACAG